ACUACGCCUUCCACGUGCACCACUGCCUCUUCCCUUCUCGCUUGGGAACUCUAGUCUCGCCUCGGGUUGCAAUGGACCCCAACUGCUCCUGCGCCGCUGGUGUCUCCUGCGCCUGCACUGCCUCCUUGCAAGUGCAAACAGUGCAAAUGCACCUCCUGCAAGAAGAGCUGCUGCUCCUGCUGCCCUGUGGGCUGUGCCAAGUGUGCCCAGGGCUGCAUCUGCAAAGGGGUGUCAGAGAAGUGCAGCUGCUGUGCCUGAUGUCGGGACAGCCCUUCUCCCAAGUACAA